UUCUUUUUCCCCAGUUAGAAUAGGCUCCUCGGACCUUAUGUGGAAGGAGUGAGGCUUGUCUUUAUAAACCAGAGAGACUGUCUCCACUUUAUCUGUUGAGCAUACAUAGUAGGUAAUAUCAGUGUUUGAUGGAUAUUGAUCUCCUCUGGAUCACUGGGGGCCGGGCUGGUUUAUGAUUAUUCAAUGGUAAUCAUCACUAAUAAAAAACUUCAUCAUCUUCUUCUGUGGCUACUUAUUGGGAUCCUCUCUCUUCUUGCUCUCCUUGCUCACCAUCCUCCACACUUAACAACAGAAGCAGCCAACAAUAACUCCACAAAUCAUCCUUUUCAAACUGCUGCUCAUAGCGUCCCUAGCGGUCCAAAUCCUGAAUCCAACUAGUAAGCAACAAGCUUCAUUAAUUUGUUGGUAUGUGUGUUUGUUUUGGAUUAUGUACAGGUUUUGUUAAGAUAUUAUAGACAGUUCUUUUAAGAUUGCCAUUUAUUUCUAGCUCUUGCCCGUUGUAUCGUGACCCAAUAUCGUCAAUGGAUGCUGGUAUAAUA